UCUGUUUGAUCCUGGCUCAGGAUGAACGCUAGCGGCAGGCUUAACACAUGCAAGUCGAGGGGUAACAUUGUGCUUGCACAGAUGACGACCGGCGCACGGGUGCGUAACGCGUAUAGAACCUACCUUUUACAGAGGGAUAGCCUUUAGAAAUGAAGAUUAAUACCUUAUAGUAUUGCGAUUCGGCAUCGGGUUGUAAUUAAAGAUUUAUCGGUAAAAGAUGGCUAUGCGUCCUAUUAGUUAGAUGGUAAGGUAACGGCUUACCAUGACAUCGAUAGGUAGGGGUCCUGAGAGGGAGAUCCCCCACACUGGUACUGAGACACGGACCAGACUCCUACGGGAGGCAGCAGUGAGGAAUAUUGGGCAAUGGAGGCAACUCUGACCCAGCCAUGCCGCGUGCAGGAAGACGGCCCUAUGGGUUGUAAACUGCUUUUAUACAGGAAGAAACACUGGUAUGUAUACCAGCUUGACGGUACUGUAAGAAUAAGGACCGGCUAACUCCGUGCCAGCAGCCGCGGUAAUACGGAGGGUCCGAGCGUUAUCCGGAAUCAUUGGGUUUAAAGGGUCCGCAGGCGGUCAAUUAAGUCAGAGGUGAAAUACCAUAGCUCAACUAUGGAACUGCCUUUGAUACUGGUUGACUUGAGUCAUAUGGAAGUAGAUAGAAUGUGUAGUGUAGCGGUGAAAUGCAUAGAUAUUACACAGAAUACCGAUUGCGAAGGCAGUCUACUACGUAUGUACUGACGCUGAGGGACGAAAGCGUGGGGAGCGAACAGGAUUAGAUACCCUGGUAGUCCACGCC
rnacentral:rRNA from 1 species